GUCCACGCCGUAAACGAUGAGUGCUUGAUGUUGGGGGGCCUAGCCCCUCAGUGUCGUAGCUAACGUGAUAAGCACUCCGCCUGGGGAGUACGGCCGCAAGGUUAAAACUCAAAGGAAUUGACGGGGGCCCCGCACAAGCUGUGGAGCAUGUGGUUCAAUUCGACGCAACGCGAAGAACCUUACCAGCUCUUGACAUUAGACGUAUGGGGCCGAGAGAUCGGCUCCUUCAGUUCGGCUGGCGUCCAAACAGGUGCUGCAUGGCUGUCGU
rnacentral:rRNA from 1 species